GUCGAGAAUCUUUCACAAUGGGGGCAACCCUGAUGGAGCGACGCCGCGUGGAGGAUAAGGUCUUCGGAUUGUAAACUCCUGUCAUGCGUGAACAAGGUUGCUUGGUUAAUACCUGGGCAAAUUGAUGGUAACGCAAGAGGAAGAGACGGCUAACUCUGUGCCAGCAGCCGCGGUAAUACAGAGGUCUCAAGCGUUGUUCGGAAUCACUGGGCGUAAAGGGUGCGUAGGUGGCGUGGUAAGUCAGAUGUGAAAGCCCGGGGCUCAACCUCGGAACUGCAUCCGAUACUGCCGUGCUAGAGUACUGGAGAGGUGACUAGAAUUCUCGGUGUAGCAGUGAAAUGCGUAGAUAUCGAGAGGAAUACCAAAGGCGUAGGCAGGUCACUGGACAGUUACUGACACUGAGGCACGAAGGCCAGGGGAGCGAACGGGAUUAGAAACCCUGGUAGUCC
rnacentral:rRNA from 1 species